rnacentral:rRNA from 1 species
AGGUAUACCGGUAAGGAGUGCUGGAGCGAAUAGAAGUGAGCAUGCAGGCAUGAGUAGCGAUAAUUAAUGUGAGAAUCAUUAACGCCGUAAACCCAAGGUUUCCUACGCGAUGCUCGUCAUCGUAGGGUUAGUCGGGUCCUAAGUCGAGUCCGAAAGGGGUAGACGAUGGCAAAUUGGUUAAUAUUCCAAUACCAACAUUAGUGUGCGAUGGAAGGACGCUUAGGGCUAAGGGGGCUAGCGGAUGGAAGUGCUAGUCUAAGGUCGUAGGAGGUUGUACAGGCAAAUCCGUAUAACAAUACUCCGAGAACUGAAAGGCUUUUUGAAGUCUUCGGAUGGAUAGAAGAACCCCUGAUGC